AGCUCCAAUAGCGUAUAUUAAAGUUGUUGCAGUUAAAAAGCUCGUAGUUGGAUUUCUGGUUUGGGCGUCCGGUUUUUUUGUGCUUGUCACGAAUUGUACUAUGGAUACUCGAGCCAUUUUUUGUGAGGAAAUUUUUCUGCCAUUAAAUUGGUGGUUUUAUAGACUCGCAUCGUUUACUGUGAAAAAAUUAGAGUGUUUAAAGCAGGCAUUUGCUCAUUGAAUACAUUAGCAUGGAAUAAUAAAAUACGACCUUGGUGGUCUAUUUUGUUGGUUUGCACACCAGGGUAAUGAUUAAUAGGGACAGUUGGGGGUAUUCAUAUUUCAGCGUCAGAGGUGAAAUUCUUGGAUCGCUGAAAGAUGAGCUUAGGCGAAAGCAUUUACCAAGGAUGUUUUCAUUAAU
rnacentral:rRNA from 1 species